rnacentral:rRNA from 1 species
GACGAACGCUGGCGGCGCGCUUAACACAUGCAAGUCGAGCGAGAACCAGGGUCUUCGGCUCUGGGGACAGCGGCGAACGGGUGAGUAACACGUGAGUAAUCUGCCCUCGACACUGGGAUAGCCCGGGGAAACCCGAUUAAUACCGGAUAGCCUUUCGAGCUCUCGGGCUCGUCAGAAAGGAUGGCUUCGGCUCUCGGUUGAGGAU